UCCGGGGAGGACAGGUGGUGCAUGGUUGUCGUCAGCUCGUGUCGUGAGAUGUUGGUUAAGUCCCGCAACGAGCGCAACCCUUAUUGCUAGUUACCAUCAUUGAGUUGGGGACUCUAGCGAGACUGCCAGCGAUAAGCUGGAGGAAGGUGGGGAUGACGUCAAAUCAUCAUGCCCCUUAUGACCUGGGCUACAAACGUGAUACAAUGGCUGGAACAAAGGGAGGCGAAGGGGUGACCUGGAGCGAAACCCAAAAAUACAGUCUCAGUUCGGAUUGAAGUCUGCAACUCGACUUCAUGAAGUCGGAAUCGCUGGUAAUCGCGGAUCAGAACGCCGCGGUGAAUACGUUCUCGGGGUUU
rnacentral:rRNA from 1 species